AAUAAUGCCCAUGGGAUGUUCUAUUAGUUGUGCUACAUUUGAAAAAUUUUCAACCUUUUUGCAUUGGUCAGUUAAAAUUAAAACGCAUUCUGAAAAUUUGGAUCAUUAUCUUGAUGAUUUUAUAUUUGUUGGAGAAGCUCAUAAAGAUGACUGUCUCUUUCUUAUGACUGCAUUUUCAAAAGUUUGUUCAAACUUGGAAGUUCCUAUAGCAAAAAAAAAAAAAAAAAAAAAAAAAAAAAAAAAAAAAACCAGAAGGUCCUUGCACAAAACUGGAAUGUAUAGGUUUGUUAAUUUAUUCAGAUGAGAUGUUGGUUAGAAUACCAGUGUUAAAAUCAAAAAACUUAAAGAUCAGAUAAAUUGGGUAUUGGAAAAAAGAAAAGUUACUCUGAAAGAAAUGCGUCUUUAACAGGUUCGUUGGCUUUUUGUGCAAGGGCUCUUCCCUCCAGAAGGGCAUUUUUGAGGCGUCUAUAUGGCUCUUUUAAAAAUGUUAAAAAAAAUCUCAUCAUUUUAUAAGAUUGACCAAAGGAAUACGAGAUCAUUUGCAUAUGUGGCAAUAUUUUUAUAAAGAAUUUAAUGGCUAUACAUAUAUCCAAGAUUUAGAUUGGGUUUCAAAUGCUGAUUUACAUUUGUAUACUGACAGUGCAGGUGGUCAUUCACUGGUUUGUGCAGCUUAUUUAAAUGGGCCAUGGGCAAUUUUACAAUGGCCAUAAUUGGGGCAAAGUUUUAUUAAGUGACAUUACUUAUUUGGAAAUUAUACCUAUUGCUUUGGCCAUCUAUUUAUGGAAAGAAAGGUUUACGAAUAAGAAGAUAAUUUUUCAUUGUGAUAAUAUGGCUGUUGUUACAAUUUUAAAUUCAAAAUCUUCAAAAAAAAAAGACAGGGUUAUGUUUUUGUUAAGAAAAAUAGUUUUGUGGACAUUGUUAUUUAAUUUUCAAUUUAAAGCGUUGCAUAUUUUUUCAAAAUACAAUUUUAUUGCUGAUGCUUUAUCUCGUGGACAGAUGAAGAAGUUCAGAGAAGUAACGAGCAAUGCCGACCGGACGCCACAGACUAUUCCACACGAAUUCCUAGAUCUUUUGUUAUAGAAGCUUCAAAAUUGUUGAAUUAUUCAAUUUCUCAAAGUACCAGAAAUGUUUAUGAAAAUGCAUUGCAUUCGUUCAAUAUGUUCAGGAUGGAAUAUUCUAUUCCCCUUAGUUGGCCACCAAGUAACAGACAA
rnacentral:lncRNA from 1 species